UACGAAGGGUGCAAGCGUUAAUCGGAAUUACUGGGCGUAAAGCGCGCGUAGGUGGUUCAGUAAGUUGGAUGUGAAAUCCCCGGGCUCAACCUGGGAACUGCAUCCAAAACUGCUGAGCUAGAGUACGGUAGAGGGUGGUGGAAUUUCCUGUGUAGCGGUGAAAUGCGUAGAUAUAGGAAGGAACACCAGUGGCGAAGGCGACCACCUGGACUGAUACUGACACUGAGGUGCGAGAGCGUGGGGAGCAAACAGG
rnacentral:rRNA from 1 species